rnacentral:lncRNA from 1 species
UGUAGCUUGUUUGUUUGUUUGUCUGAUUAGGUUUAAUACAUUUUUUUCAGUGGUACAGUCUAACAAUUGUCAGUCAAGGGAGAGACACAAUUUGGCUGCAGGCAGUUGCUUAAGACAAGAUGAUAAUAGAACUAAAUGUCAGUCUGGGAACCUAGCUGACUGCUUAAGGCAAUUUACUGCUUAUUAAAGGUGACCGCUAAGGCAGGUUUAUAAGUGUUCUGAAAUAUAAGAGUGGUCAAUAUACCAUAACAAGUAUCCCUUAUUUCUAUAACAGUACUCAGAUAUGGAGUACAAUUAAAAUGACUUCAGACACACUGUUUCCUGUAAAACUGUCGAGAAGACACGUGCAUCUUGCUACAAGAUCAAACUUGUGACUUGUCAUCCAUAAUUCUGUGAUUUACCUACUGAGCUAAGCAAACAGAUAUUCAGCUUGCUGGAGUUUCAGCUGGGUAUAUCAGCUUGGUGGAUAUCAGCUGGGUGAAGAUUCAGCUGGGUGGAGAUCAGCUUGAUGGAGUUUCAGCUUGGUGGAGAUUCAGCUGAAAAAGUAUAGGGGCCCAUACGGAGACAAAGACUGUAACCACAAGUUAAUGGUUUUCGGUAAUUACUUCAUUAUCAUGUCCAGCUGUCAUGUUCCAGCAAGCCUGCCAACUCUGGAGUCCCCAACUACCAAGAAUCUUCAUUCCCACCAUUACUGUAGCAAGACCAUAAAGAUACAAGCCUUGAGCGGUUACAGUGAAAUCCUUAUCGUGGACAGUCAACUUCGACACAGGGGGUGACAUAAUAGAACUUUGUGCUCAGGUCAGCUAAAAACACAGGCGUAACCCCGGCGAAAUGGAAUUCAUGGAAUCAUGAAUUUUUCAUCUCCAUUAUGAAUUAUUCAUGAACUGUUCUGGAUCACUUCUUAAUCUGACUUCAUGAAGUUUUAUGCAUGAAGUGUCAUUUGAUCUACUUCAUGAAGAUAUCAAGCAUUAUUGACAGAUUCAUGAAAUCCUUGAAAUAUUCAUGAACUUGUUUAAGAAUAAAUCAAGAUUUUUUCAUUAUUUUGUUGCAUG